UGCAGUCGACGAUGAACCAUUCGGUGGAUUAGUGGCGAACGGUGAGUAAACGGCUGGCAAUCUGCCCUGCCUCUGGGACAAGCCCUGGAAACGGGCUAAUACCGGAUACGAGCCGGGACCGCAUGUCUGGUUGGAAAGCUCCGGCGGUGCAGGAUGACCGCGGCCUACAGCUUGUUGGUGAGUAACGGCUCACCAAGGCGACGACGGGUAGCCGGCCUGAGAGGCCCGGCCACACUGGGACUGAGACACGCCCCAGACUCUACGGAGCAGCAGUGGGGAAUAUGCACAAUGGCGCAAGCCUGAUGCAGCGACCCCCCGUGAGGAUGACGGCCUUCGGUGUAAACCUCUUCAGCAGGGAAGAAGGCAAGUGACGGUACCUGCAGAAAGCGCCGGCUAACUACGUGCCAGCAGCCGCGGUAAUACGUAGGGCGCAAGCGUUGUCCGGAAUAUUGGGCGUAAGAGCUCGUAGGCGGCUGUCCGGUCGGUUGUGAAGCCCGGGCUUAACCCGGUCUGCAGUCGAUACGGCAGGCUAGAGUUCGGUAGGGGAGAUCGGAAUUCCUGGUGUAGCGGGUGAAAUGCGCAGAUAUCAGGGGAACACCGGUGGCGAAAGCGGAUCUCUGGGCCGAUACUGACGCUGAGGAGCGAAAGCGUGGAGCGAACAGGAUUAGAUACCUGGUAGUCACGCCGUAAACGGUGGGCACUAGGUGUGGGCAACAUUCCACGUUGUCCGUGCGCAGCUAACGCAUUAAGUGCCCCGCCUGGGAGUACGGCGCAAGGCUAAUACUCAAAGGAAUUGACGGGGCCCGCACAAGCGGCGGACAUGUGGCUUAUUUCGACGCAACGCGAAGAACCUUACCAAGGCUUGACAUACACCGGAAAACCCUGGAGACAGGGUCCCCCUUGUGGUCGGUGUACAGGUGGUGCAUGGCUGUCGUCACCUCGUGUCGUGAGAUGUUGGGUUAAGUCCCAACGAGCGCAACCCUUGUCCCGUGUUGCCAGCAGGCCCUUGUGUGCUGGGGAUCACCGAGACCCCGGGGUCAACUCGGAGGAAGGUGGGGACGACGUCAAGUCAUCAUGCCCUUAUGUCUUGGGCUGCAACGUGCUACAAUGGCCGGUACAAUGAGCUGCGAUACCGUGAGGUGGAGCGAACUCAAAAAGCCGGUCUCAGUUCGGAUGGGGUCUGCAACUCGACCCCAUGAAGUCGGAGUCGCUAGUUAUCGCAGAUCAGCAUUGCGCGGUGAAUACGUUCCCGGGCCUUGUACACACCGCCGUCACGUCACGAAAGUCGGUAACACCCAACCGGUG
rnacentral:rRNA from 1 species